rnacentral:rRNA from 1 species
CCCUUAGAUGUCCUGGGCCGCACGCGUGCUACACUGAUGCAUACAGCGAGUACUCCCAGCUCCGAGAGGCUGCUGGUAAUCAACAAUAUGCAUCGUGAUGGGGAUAGAUCUUUGGAAUUAUAGAUCUUGAACGAGGAAUUCCUAGUAAUCGCAGGUCAUCACCCUGCGUUGACUAAGUCCCUGCCCUUUGUACACACCGCCCGUCGCUCCUACCGAUUUCGAGUGAUCCGGUGAAUCAUUCGGACCGCGGCCCCUAGGCAUGCGGAAAGUCUAGUAAACCAUAUCACUUAGAGGAAGGAGAAGUCGUAACA